AAACGGUUUUCUUCUUUUGAAAAAAUUUAUUGCUAGUCCUGUUUCUAAUCGACUUUACUUGUGUAUUUUAAGCUUUUUUGUUGCUGUGCUUUUUCUGGAGAUUUUAGUUGGAUUGGAAAGCUCCUGUGUAAGGUACCCUUUCCUAAAGAAAAAUUGAAGUAAUUUGUACAGUUAUAACGCGCUGUGUUUUAUUUUAUUGUUUCUAAGAAGAUGUAAGAAUACAAUAUUAUCAAUUUUAAUUGGUUUUAUCCAAAUCAAGAUUGUGUACAAUGGGAGUGAGUGAUGUAAUCUUCUAAUGCGUGUGGUGAAAAAAAGGCGAAUCCGUUAUUGUUUUUCUGCCCAAAUUUGAAGCUAUUUAAUAAAUCUUGAUAAAGUUAAAAAACUGUUUUGA